GUAAAAUUCGAUCAGUUCGUUGGACAAGGUAAAGUUCUCCAUAACUAUGCCUCGAUCCUCGAACUGCUACUUCGAUUACGGCAAGCUUGUGAUCAUCCUUUUCUUGUUCUGAGCCGUGGCGAUACUGAAGACUUUGCGGACCUGGGAAAGCUGGCUAGACGUUUCCUCCCAGGUGCCUUCGACGGCGUAUGUCAAAGAGGUGGUGGAUGAUAUUCGUAAAGGAGAAAGUGCUGAGUGCCCAAUUUGUUUGGAGAUGCCAGAGGACGCAGUUCUUACAUUGAAAGUGCCGUGAGUGCCGAGAAUGUGGACGAUCGAGCAUCGGUCAGACGAAGAACGUAUCGAUCAAGCGAUUCAUCGUCAAAGAUCCAAGCGAGGAAGCAGCGAUUGAUCGCGGGGGCUCUCACAGACGAAGAGGUGCGAAGCGCUCGAAUCGAGGAGCUCAAAAUGCUAUUUAAAUGAGAAGAACUGGAGUCCUUAGCAUUUUUUUAACUUACAUCAGGUUAAAGAGGGGAAUAUGCUUCUAGCUUCGGCGCGUAUAUUCUUCAAUGUGUCAUAGCUAGGUUUCUUCGCGGCUAUGGCGGACAGCGAAGGAGCAGGCGAUUGCGUCGCAAGCGCGUUUGAUUCCGGCAGCAUCGGCGACGAGCAACGUAUGCAUGCUAGGAGCAGCAGCAGCGCCAGCGCCGGCGCCGCGCCGCGAUUUCGCUGGCCUAGAGCCGGAGUAGCCGAUCUAGAUUCAUGCAAGCAUAUGAUCUCUGGGAAAUUGAGCUGAACGCUGAGGCUUUGCAGGC